GUCAUCAGUACAGGACUCUAUUUGGACUUCAUUAUUUGUUGUUGCAGCUAGAUAAGACAAGAACUGUCAGGGUCUGGAUUGAGGUGCACUACAAGAGCUGUGAGGUGUGAAGGGACAUCGGAUGCAGACUCCAUGUGCAGCGCCCCUACGAAAACCCCUUGUAUGAGGAGGCGUGGAACCAGGGCCUGGUUGGGGACAUAGCAGAGUGAUUCUGGGCUGUAGAUCAGACCUGGCCAUCUACAACACUGAAGAGGGGGGAAGCCGAGCAUCCAGCUAAAGAGGGAGAAGCCCCUCUGUCUCCCGCAACCCAGGGAUAGGAGAAUACCUGCCGGUUCUGCCUCCGCCGACAGGGAGAACUGUCUACCGCUCCCGCUUUCGC